GGGCUGGAGUGUGGGGGCCAUGGCUCAGUCACAGAGGCCCCUUGUGAGCCGGCACAGAGGCCCAUUGAGAGUCUCCCCACCCAAGCCCCUGGCCUCAGCCCCACGGCCCAGCGCAGGCGAGGAGGCCGGGCCUCUGCCCAGGAAUGUGCCCGCUCCUGGGGAAGGGGACUGGAGAUCCACAAAGCCCCUUUCUACUAGGGCCUGGGAAGGGCACAGGCCCUCCAGCCUGACCCCACCCCGCUUCAUUCUUCAAGACCAAGGGCAGGUCCAGGCGAACACCUCCCGUCUCCCACUCUGCAGCUGGUGCCUGAGCAUUGGGGCAGAAGUGACCUCAACCCCAGUCUGGUUCUGGGCCCUCCUGGGCUCACAAGGUUAUCGUCUGUACCUCUGCUGGAAUGGAAGCACCUUGAAGACAAGGGCUGUGACGAAUUCAUCUCCACCUUUUCUGCACCCCGUGCUCAAUAAAUACUUGAAUGAAUGAAUAAAUGAAUGGACAAAAAUGUCAUCACCUAUGAA